AACGAACGCUGGCGGCAUGCCUAACACAUGCCAGUCGAACGAGACCUUCGGGUCUAGUGGCGCACGGGUGCGUAACGCGUGGGAACCUGCCCUUAGGUUCGGAAUAACUCCCCGAAAGGGGUGCUAAUACCGGAUAAUGUCUUCGGACCAAAGAUUUAUCGCCUUUGGAUGGGCCCGCGUUGGAUUAGCUAGUUGGUAGGGUAAAAGCCUACCAAGGCGACGAUCCAUAGCUGGUCUGAGAGGAUGAUCAGCCACACUGGGACUGAGACACGGCCCAGACUCCUACGGGAGGCAGCAGUGGGGAAUAUUGGACAAUGGGCGAAAGCCUGAUCCAGCAAUGCCGCGUGAGUGAUGAAGGCCUUAGGGUUGUAAAGCUCUUUUACCCGGGAUGAUAAUGACAGUACCGGGAGAAUAAGCUCCGGCCAACUCCGUG
rnacentral:rRNA from 1 species